CAUUAUACUAUGAUACAACCGUUGCAUUAGAUCAUUGCUAUUAUCGUGUACAAAGUCCUAUGACCAAAGUUUAUCUUUUAAUUGACACAUAUCUAUAUUAUACAUCUUUUCUACCGAAACACGCAAAAUUUCGGGCGUAAAGUGAAAAAUCAUGGGGUCAUGUAAACAUGCUUUGCUUCUUUUGGGUCGAGGGCGAACCAAAUUUAACAACAAUGCCUUCAGCUUCAAAUGGUCUGACACCCUAGUUAUAAGAUAAAACGACAUUUGUUACCUGCAAAAGACAGUGCAAGCAUACACGUUAAGUACUGCAAAAGACAUUGCAGUCAUACAUGUUAAGUACUUCAAAACUAUAAAAAUUUGAAUUUGAAGUACUUCAAAACUAAAAAUAUUUGAAUUUGAAAGUUCAUGAGUUGCAAGUACUCAUUGAGAACAAAAAUUAACUAAAUAAAUGAAAUAUAAUAGUUUUAAGCUAUAAAAAAAAGAAAAAGAAGUCAAAGUACAUAAUGUCCAAUGCCUAUGAUGGUUCAUGAUUGUGCACUUCUAGACGCUCCGAAAAGAUGCAUUGCAGUAUGAAAAAGGGGUAUUCGAUGUUUUAAAAAAGACAAUAUAAUUUAAAACUCCAAUUAAAUACUUUAUCAGAGGACAACACAUUCGGGGCCAAAUUCGCCCAUGCAUCACAUAUCAUGAAAGCAUGUGUUUUUAUGUUAUAUAUUGGUAACAGAAUAGGUCUAAGCGUUUAAUCUCCUGUUACAAUUUAUAUUGACCAAAUAAUGCGAUAAAAAUCAAAUAAGGCCAACUACUCUUGAUUAUAGCCUUAAGGCCUAUAUAUACGUAUCUAACAAAAUAAUACGUACAGACAUAUAAAAAGAGAGAACAUCGGAUGGGAUAUCAACCCAUAUACUGAAUCUAUAGCAGGGAUGCUAAUCCUACAUCCAUGUCCCUUUCAGAAAACGGGUUUCAAGCAGGUAUAUCAAAGCACGGAAUCGAUUUCUUUCUUGUUUCUCUCUCUUUUCUCUCUCUUCUCUCACUCUAUCUCAGUACUUGAUCAACCUAUGAGAUAUGUCCUCUCAAAGAGUACCUAUAUCCUGGAAAAAUAUGCGAACGCCAUUCCCAACGCCCCACCCUGAUUUUAUAACCUUUUCCAGAUGAUAACCUUUGAUCUCUCUUUGAUAGCCACCAAAUAUCAUCUCCAUCGUUGAUCUCUUGAUGAUGCUUAUCAUCUUCCUCACCUUCACACUGAAUCUUCACUUUGUCCUUAUCUUCUACGUGAAUUCAAAUUUGUGAAUUGAUCUUCUAGUUCAAACGAACGGAUUUCAUGGAUUUGAAUUUGUACUCAAGGCUUCACAUGAAUUAAAACCAUGGGUAAAUCUGAUAACCCCAAUCUCAAUCACGCAUAAAGUUUGGAUUUGUUCUUAUCCUCUACAGUCAACCAUUAACCAUAUGCAAAUUCAAAUUCACAUCCAUGUGAUGUGGCUAACCAUCUCUCUUUUGAAUUUUAAAUAUGCAAUCUUGCGAAUCAGUCAAGUUGGCUGAUGAGAAAGACUAGGGCAUAUCUUCUUUUUAUUAAUCGUUGGUUUACUUUUCUGUUCAUCAUGUUGAAUAUACUUUCUUUUUCUUGCAUACAACAUUUUCUCACCUUUUAAGGGUGAUCAAAUCAAGGAUGCAAUGGUCCUAAUUUCUUGAGAAAUUACUCACAUUAAGGGAGAAAUUACAAUAUCAAUAGUCGAAUGUCGUUAUGUCUGAAAAGCACGAGACAUAGAGCUUUCAAGCUCUAACUGUCAAGCUGCCAAUUAAGGUAUAUCCGAACUGACGAUGGAUACGGAUAUGGGUUAAGCAAGGUCCAAAUAUCAUCUAAGCCACCCUUGGACCUUAAGGCACAUAAGGCCUUAAUAUAAUACAUACAUCUAUAUAUAUAGGAAUUCAUCUCAAUAUAUUAUGACGAGGUUUCCUUUAAGCUCCAUCAGUCAAAACCCCAUUAUUUCAACAUAUGAUGGAUCUUUUUAAAAAGCCAUAUCACAUCUCUCUCAUAACUCCUCCAAUAUCCAAUAGAGAGCCAUUUUUGUGCUAGGGAAUAUAUGCAUUCUGGAGUUUCGUCUCAAAUAAAAACGUCUUCAUGAUCUCCUAGCAUUGAUCAUAAAUUAUGGCAUAUGUGCAUAACCAACAGUGGAUGCCAAUAUUAAGUCGUAUAUAUUCCUCCACAAAUCACAUGGAUAGGCGUAUAAAGAGCCAUAGGAGUAUAUGUAUCCUAGAACAUGUCUCAAAAGGAGAUGGCUUCCCCAUUUAUAUCAACCUUGACUAUGUUUAGCUGAUGGGUUUCUGGUAUUAUCAGUCGUGAGUUAAGUCCUUUUUGAGGACUAACCGACGAGUCAAGAUUCCUUUAAGCAUAUCAAGCCUUUCAUAUAAUGGAUCUUGGUCAAUUUGCAUCACAUGGGGUAUUUCCUUAAGCCUUGUGUGAAGCUUGGUUAUUAUAUCAGUAUCAAAAUGCUUCUGGUCCUUGUAUGUGACUGACAGCACACCCAACAAAACUGUCACGUAUGUUCGUGUGCAUGGGAAAUGUCCCUAGAGCACGUAACGACUGGUGGUUUGGGUGGCCUUACCAUCAUUACUCUUCCUUACGCAUGCCUUGAAAUUUCCUCGAACCUUCUUUAUCAAAAUGCGGAUGGCCAUUCGAAUCAUGAUUUCCUCAUAUUCCUAAGAAACAAUCCUUCGGAUCCCUCAUGAAAGGCCUAUAAAUCUGAGAUAGAAAGGGGGUAUGUCGCAUCUCAUAUCUUUAACCAUGGCAUCCCCUAAGUUCCCUUGUCACUUGGAGACCCGUCUUAGCCCUCACCUCACUACCCCAUUCUUGGGUAGUGAAGAGCGUUCCGUUAACAUUCCUCCCCCAAUUGAUGCUCACGGGGAAAGCAACCGCAAAAGUCUGGCAAACUUAAAGUCCAUGAGCAUCUCCUCUGAGGACGAGGAAGAUGUCCCCGAGGCAGCAUUGGAGGUAGGCCUCAUGAAGGACGUCAAUUCCCAGGAGAUUGCUCAUCUUCGAGAGGUGGAGUCUCCGCUACGCCGGGAGGUGGAGCAUUACCGGAGUAUGUCAGACAUCUAAGGAGAAGCUGAGCAUGCGAAGGAGGCCCUGGGCUCAAUGAAAGGAAAGCUCUCCAGGGUCAUGGAACUACUUCGCUUCAGGGAACUAGCCCUGACUUGAGCGAAAUUAGUCGGCUCCUCUCUUUCCCCUUUUGUUCCCUUUUUUCUUUCUUUUCUUUUUUUUUUUUCUGAACAAUUGUAAGGGCUCAAUCUCUUAAACUUCCAUCAAUGAAGCUCUUAUUUCUCAUCAUUGUGUUCACAUUUUGCGUCUUCAAUUUCCUAUGGCAUUUUUGCAUCAUUUUGCAUUCAUGGAACCCAUACCAUUAGUUCGUGUUCCAAAUUUCAAACUCAAUCUCGAUAUCCCUAUCUUUUUGAGAAAUAUCAAGGGUAAAUGAGUAAAAUCCCUAAGUCAUAACGUCCUUCAUUAUUUAAGCAGGGGCAGUUUGGUAAAACUAUGAGAAACCAUCAUUAUCCUACCAUCUUUUUAGCGCGAAUCAAGGUAUAAGACCCAAGCGUCACAGUUUCCCCAAACACUCUCUCUUUCAUCUUCUCAAACCCUUUCACUCAUUAUCAUCUUAUAGGAAAACCUUCCUUCCUUCUGGUAUCCCCUUUAGGUAUUCCAACAAGACUCUUCACAAGGGCCCCUUCUUGUUCUUCAUUUUCCCCCUUUUUCCUUUCUUCUUCCUGGUCGUAAACUGAUUCCUGAGUAUUUGCUCACGACAGAGAGAUUGGUCCAGCGAUUUUCUGGGGUUUAUACCUCCUUUUUUGUCUCGGUUGAUGCUUCUGGCUAUUGCCCCAACUUCAACUUGGCACAUGGGAUUUUUGAGGAUUUAAUUUCCAUGGGGAGGUUAUGUCCAAAUUUCUGGAAAUCUAUUACAAAUUUCUUGAGAUUUCGGUGAAUCUUCUUGUUAUUAAGGAAAUUUGGGACUUCUUUUCAUUAAGCCCUCAUCGAUUUUUCUCUUAUAACAUUAGUUGUGAGUUGAAUACUUCAAUUGAGUCAUGACCUUUGGAAAGACAUUGGUCGGGGUUUGGGAUAUUGAGUUAAGGGAUCAAACCCUUUGGUCUAAACCCUCACAAGUUUUGACCGUUAGUAAAAAAUCACAGUUUUAUAGGACCUAAGGAUCAAACCGUAGACUUAAGCCUUGUAGUCAUGUGUCGUAGCUUGGAACCAUGAACCUAUAGGUAUUGAGUCUAAGGAUUGAACCUUUGACUUGAGCCACGAAGGCAUUGGUUGUAAGUUGGGAACCAUAGACCUGUAAUCAUUGAGUUCUAAGGAUCAAACCUUUGACCUGAGCCACGAAGGCAUUGGUCAUAGGUUGGGAGCCAUAGACUUGUAAUCAUCGAGUCUAAUGAUCGAACAUUUGACCAAAGCCACAAAGGCAUUGGUCGUAGGUUGGGAACCAUAGACCAGUAAACAUUGAGUCUAAAGGAUCGAACCUAGGACCUAAGCCAUGAAGGAAUUGGUCAUACGUUGGGAACCAUAGACUUGUAAUUAUCGAGUCUAAGGAUCGAACCUUUGACCUAAGACACAAAGGCAUUGGUCGUAGGUUGGGAACCAUAGACUUGUAAACAUUGAGUUUAGGAUCGAAUCUUUAACCUAAGCCACAAAGGCAUUGGUCGUAGGUUGGGAACCAUAGACCUGUAAAUAUCAAGUCUAAGAUCGAACCUUUGACCUGAACCACAAAGGCAUUGGUCGUAGGUUGGGACCAUAGACUUAUAAUCAUCGUUUAUAAGGAUCGAACCUUUGACCUAAGCCACUAAGGUAUUGGUCUUAGGUUGGGAACCAUAGGCCUUUAAAUAUCAAGUUUAAGGAUCGAACCUUUGACCUGAGCCACAAAGACAUUGGUCGUGAGUUGGGAACCAUAGGCUUGUAAUCAUCAAGUCUAAGGAUAUUAGCCUUUGAGCUGAGCCACAAAAGCAUUGGUCGUAGGUUGGGAAUCCCAAACUCAUGGUUUUUAUUUCUAAGAGCAUCCUUUUAAAAUUGGAUUGCCUCCUUAGGUAUCAUGAGAUCAGAAGGCCUUCCUUAACAGUGAGGAAAAUUGGAGAGGCCAAUGUUGGGGUGUCGAGUUUCCUCGUCAUGACCCCGUAAGUGAAGACAAUGGAAAAUACCCAACGGAGCUUCAAUGGUCUGUUUCUAUCAACUUCUCGGUAGACUCCACAGAAUGCGGAGAAAUUACACAUCGAUCCCAUCAUAGUUCAGAUCAAAAACCUCUACUUCUUCACUUUGCACAUAAGAAUGUAUCUGGUUCAGAGUCCUUCCCUAUUCUAGGCUACUUGAUUUAUGACUAGAAAGUGAAAUGGCAUGAAGAGGGAUUUUGAUGUGAAUGCGAGACUAGUUUCAUUCGGGGCUACUAUAGCUGAACACGAGAAGUGUGUGCCCACUACAGAGAGACCCUCCUUGUGGUAGGGCUCAUAGGCACCUGUAAAUAUUCUGCCUAUCCUUAUGAUAGGUGUGGGAAUGUAGUUUUAGCAUAUCUAAAAACUUGGUGUUCAGAGACCAACUAUAACUUUUUCAAUCGAGGGGAAGCAGGGAUGUCCCUUUUGAAUCUUCAUUUCAUUGGCGAUCUCUCUAUUUUAAGAGACCGCUACUAGGAGUUUUCUCCUGAGAACAAGAUCAUUUUUGGAGGUAAAAGCUACCGAAGUCUGCGAAGACUAGAGUACUUGUAAGGGCUCUCUGAAAAGUUUGCGAAGUUGGCUGCGGUCAUCAAGAACAAAAAUAAGAACGUUUACCUCCAAGUCUAGAUCAACCACUUUUUUGACAUGUGGAAGGCCGCAAAUGAACCAACCAACCCUAGUUAGAAUGCAAAUAACAAACCCUGGGCUUUACUGGCUGAUGUGCCUCCAGGCCCCGUAAAGCUAAACAAUAUUCUUUACUUGGCAACCUAUUUGGCCUUAUUCCUUUGCCACUUUGUUCUUCCGGGGUCAAGGGGAUAUGUAAUUAGGCCUGAGUGCCUUUAUGCGGUGUGUAAUAUGGAUGAAGGCUAUAGAUACGCCCUGGCUCAAUCCAUUUUGUGCAGCAUUUAUCACGAGUUACGAGUAGGGAGCAAUCUUUAAAAGAUGUUGGGGAACAUGCGCACUCCUUUCACUAGCCAUUAUGUAUAUGGCUGGAUAGGUGCUUACUUCCCAUGCACCUACAAAUCCCGAAGUGGGAGUAACGCCGAUGUUUUUCCAUAUCUACUUCUUCUUAUGGGCUGUCAGGCAGUAUUUCAUUCAGACCAUGACGCAAGGAAGCUAUUUCAUGGCGAAAGACAUUUUUUAAAGAAGUCAUUCCUGAUAGGGGGUCCGGAGCAUCAUUUUUAUGCUGACGAACAACCAUAUCGGGCUGGCUUGGAUCCUCCCACACAAAGAGGCAUGAUGUACCUACAGAGUGUUCGAGGAGGCCUUCUUCCUUUAAGGAUCGGGGUUCACAGGUAUAUCGAGCUGUAUAAUCCCCAUUGACUUUCCAGACAACAUAGGAUAGAUUAAGGUUGUCAUGUAGUUUAUGAGUUCACCAGACGACACAAUUGGCUCGGUCCUUGCAUUAAGAUCAUGUGGGAUUCUUGCAUGCCUUUGGGUCUGGGACGUUAAGUCAUCAUCUCCCAUUACAACAAAGAGGUGUAUAAGACAUACUCCUAUUGCCUUUGGUAAGAUAACUAUCAAACGGGGUUUUCAUAAAACCCUUUUAAUUGAAAUUUCAUCAAAUGAGGGUGGAUGGAGCAUACUAUACUUAUUACAAGUUCAAGAUCACCAAUGUGGAUAUAGGGUGGGCCACCGGGACUCAGUUUCUUGAUAAAUGAAACAAUGUCAGUAUUGAACGUUCAAUGGGUCCUUUGGUUGAAGAGGAUGUUUCGGGGAAGACAAAUGCAUCUUUUAUCAUUAUCUGGAGAAAUUACUAGAGAUUGAUCCGCGAGUCUCAAAGGGACCUACGGGCCCUUUUAUUCGAGAUCUCAACGAAUUGGUUGAAGUUGAGGCAACCGACCCAGCUCCUACUCCCGUCGAAAAAUCCAAAGGCAAGAGGGAAGCCAUGAAUCCUCCUGCUACAAGGGGAAGAUUGGCGCGUGAUCCUUCAAGCAAAAAGAAAAGGCAAGAGAGGAGGGCAUCUCCUCCACAAGAUGAAUUUGCGUGUGAGCCCUUGACAAAGAGGAAGAGUCCUUCCCCUUCAGGAGAUCAAACAACAAAAGACCCAACUCCCCAAAAUUCGAAGAAGAAGGUUGCUCCUUAUGUGGGAGAGGAGUCGACAGUAGAUCAUCCAGCUCAGAAGAAAAGGAAGAACCAGACAUACAUGGUACCCCCGACUGUAGCUAUACUGGAGGGAUCAAUUGCACCGGGUGGUGAUAUGGCGAUGGGCUGAUCAUCCACUGAUUAAGGUGAGGAGAGGACUAAGGUUCCAACUUUCCCACCCAUAUAGGAGGCGCUGACUAAAGAUUCGAACAAGAAAAAGAUGGGAUUAAAGGAGGGAACCCCCACCCAGGCAUGAGUUUCCACGAGAUCAUCCCAGACAUGCAGAGAGUCGCACCUUCAGGACAACUCUUCUGAACCAUUGAAAGCCCAGUCUUCUAAAAUUGAGCCGCCUUCUGUUAGGGCUUCCAAAGCGACGGCCCCCACUCCCGACCUCUGACAGAAGAAAAUGGGAUCUCGGAAGAAACUUGGGUGUUGAAUGAAGUAGAUAUACCUUCCCCUCCAUCUCUUGUUCUUGCUGCCCUUGAGGUUGAAUCAUCAAGUGAGGAGUCCUUCGCCUCGGAAAAGCAUGUGGAGGCAAAAUCUGCCUCCGAUCACGAGGAGGGAAAGAUAUAUGCUUUAAGGGGUAUCCCCAUCCCCCCAAGGCGAGAUGAGGCUUUGUCUUCUUCGGCCCCUCCUCUUGCUGGUUAAAUGUCUCGAUCUCGCCCUCCAGAUCUGGAUGAUCGAGCGGCACACGUCUCGAGUUUUGGGGAGUCCUGGGACUUUGAGAUCGCUCUCUUUAAAAACUAGUUUGAGAACAAGGGCAAGUAUUAUCAAUCGAUGAGAGAGGAAUUUAAGGUGAAUUCGGGACUUACUCGGGCUGGCUGGCGUGGGCGCCCUCUUAGAUCACAAAGAAAGCCCCCCAGUAGUGAAACUGGUUCGGAAUCGCCUUCCUUGACAUGUAUUCUCCAGUUUUUUGCAAUCACACAAAUAUGGAAAAUGUUAUAAGAUAGGUGGGUCAAAUACCUCACCUUGCCUUCUUGAUGAAUACAUACGGGGCAGGGCAUACACAUUCAAAGAAGAAGAAAAUAAUGAGAGAAGAAAGAUGGGGGAGAGAAGAAUUGGACUGAAGAGGGAGAUCAACACAGUGACUAAGCUGGUAAAUAAUUGACCUGGCGUGGCAGUAAAACGGGAUCGGUAACUCAGACCGGCUCAACAGAAUUACUACUAGAUGACAGCAUCAAUACUGAGUUAGCUAGACACGAUGGUUAAUCUAUCAUUGCAGUAAAGAGGGCACAGUAACUAUGAGUGGCAAAACAACAUUACGGCUAAACAACAGACGUUACCACGGAAGGCUAAUCUCGACCCAUCUUAACCAAACGAAGUAAUAGUAGAAAAUAUAAAAAUCAUAAAGGGAGAAUAAGAAGUAAAAUAAGAGGAGAAAAGAAUAGAAAGAAUAGGGAUGAGAGAAGGAAGGGAGAAGAGAGCGUGAGAGAGUAUGGAAAGAAAGGGCAAAGACAAAUAUAGACGGCAAUGGGAGAAGGAGGAAGAAACACAGUCGGAAUAGUCAUCGUUGGUUGUGGCCUGAAGAGAGAAAAGAAAAGAGAGAGAGAGAGAGAGAGAGAGAGAGAGAGAUAGAGCACAUGCAGCAGUGUGACAGAAGGGAGAGAGAGGACACAGUCGGCAUUAUGCUUUGUCGGUUGUGUUGGAAGAAGAGGGGGAAGGAAGGACACAGUCGGCGCUAAGCAUCGCCGGCUGGGUUAGAAGAAGAGAAGAGAAAGAAGGACACAGUCAACGCUAGGCAUCGCCAGCUGUGUUAGGAGAAGAGGAGAAGAAGAAAGAUACAGUCGAUGCUAGUCAUCACCGGCUGAGUAAGAAGAAGAGAAGAGAAAGGACACAGUCGGCGCUAGUCAUCGCCGACUGAGUUAGAAGAUGAAAGAUACAGUCGACACUAGUCAUCGACGGUUGUGUUUGAGGAAAAAGGAGAGAGAAGGACACAAGCGUCGCUAGGCAUCACUGGAUGUGCUUAAGAAGAGAGGAGAGAGUAAGACACAGGGGACGUUAGGCAUCGCCGAUUGUGUUUAAGCAGAGAGGAGAGAGACAAAGAGAUAAAGAUGAGAAGAGAAAGAAGGGGAGAUAGAUAUCAGAAGAAGAGAGAGAAAGAGAGAUAAAGAUGAGAAAAAGAGAGAAAAAGGGAGAUAAAGAUGAGAAAAGAGGAGAGGAGAGGGAAAGAGGAAGAAGAGAGAGAAAGAGGAAGAAGAGAGAGAAAGAGGGGAGGACAUUGAACAGAGAAAAUUACCUUAUUGAAGGGUACCGGCCCUUUCUUUCUCUCUUCUCUCUCUCUUCAAGACACCCACGAGCUCAGAAUUGAAACUUUAUUGAUGGUUGCGUGAAAUGAGCCGAAGGUCCUUUACAAUUUGGCUUUGCAUGCUUAUAUAGAAUUGGGCUAAAAUAUGGGUGUACAUCCAACAAUUACCUAGAAUUGAAGAUAAUUACAAUUUAAUUGAAUUAAAAAAAUUCUAAAAAUGGGUACAAAAAGACUGUUUUGCCGCUGCCUAACAAAGUGUUAAGUUUUAGAAUAGUCCAUGCUCCAUGACUGAUCUAGGGUCAUCCUGAUGCACCUUUGAUCGAAAGAUGAUUAUUUUCUUGUAGUGCUCGUCAUGGCGAUCGACUUGAUACCAAUUUCGAGCCAUGAAUCAUGUUUUUAAGCCAUGAUCAUAAAACUUGAAAUUUGCUUGAAUCUUGAAAACUUUGGAUCAAUUGUGUGCUCGUUUCUUGAUGUUUUCUUCAUUUUCUUCGAUGAAUCACAUUGAGCAUGCCAUCACGAUCACGUUGCAACAAACACAGCUCAAUUUUGUGUCAAGAUGAAGAUUUUGUCAUCUUGAGCUUUUGGCCGGAAUCUUGAAAUUCGACGGUCAAAUUUUAUAGUAGAUUUGAUGCCUUCGUGUGUGAAAUCCAACCGUUCAUCGUACGUGGGGUUCGGACCAGAGAUAGCUUCGGACCUUACACACAUAAUGCAAUUAGUUUCAUGUCGAUCGGGUAUGCGAGAGUCGUGAUUUGGCCACCGGAGUGAAGCGUGCUACUGCUAAAUUUUCUGCAAUCUUCCUCACAGAUCAACAACUUCUCUCUAGUUUUUCUCCCUGCUCGGUUAUCGUCACGGGGCGUACCACAUAUCAAAAUGCUCGUCUUGACAAGAUGAACACGUUCACAAAAUUUGAGCACGAUCUGACUUGGAACGAGUGAGAUUUGGGCCUCGAAAGUCACUGUCCAUGACUGUGAAAACAGUCACCUUUAUUGGUGUUUUGGUGCAAAGUGGCCACACGGGAAUAAUAUGCAGCCUACUUGUUUUUGGUAUUUUACCCGUAACUUUGUCCUUGAGUACCCAAUUAGGCCGAAACUUGACCCAUAAAGGUUUCGACCGUACCAGAUCCAAUGGUGGUAGUCCCACAGCUGUUUGACGCACCAAAAAUAUAGUUUUAGUCAUGGGGUCCAUUUCAGGGUGUUAGAGACCUAUUCUUCUGAAAUUGUUUCUUUGUGUUCACUGCCUUAGACAUCUCUAAUCGCGAUGAAACUUGGCAGGUGGCCUUCUGAAAUGAUGAAGAAGAACUUGACUAACUCCAGAGCAAUUCUGAGACUGUCGAAUUUUCCACAAUUUUGUAGGCUUUAUUACCAUCCUUCCUCUUUAUUCCACAUCAGGGACCAAGGUGCUGAAAAAUGUGUUCAAACAGCUUGCCCCGUCGAAUGUUGUACUUCUAAAGAAGCGAGAAGGACAAGAUUCAAAAAAUUUCCUUCAGCUUUAUUACUUUUUUCUUUCUAGUCAUAGGACCACGUGAACGCCGAGGAGAUUCACGCAAUAGUGCAACUAAGAUGCUCAGAAGUAGGGAUGCAUUGUUCGCGGGUCCGUCCGUGGAGACUGCAGGGGGAGAAGAGACUUUUUUGUGGGAUCUUAUCGAAGUCCUCACCCUCAUGCGGACUGUUUGUAAUUCUGAAGUUGAGGAUUUUGUAUGGACCUCGUCAGUCAGAAUCAGGCCUGUCUGGCAAUUGAGUGUCGUGUUAAAGGGCAUUGUUCCCAUUUGGUAUGAGUUUCGUUGUCUUUGAUAGACAACAAAAGAGCCUUUGGUCGGCACUCAUCUGCAUAGUGCACCAAUUGUUCCUUGGUGGGUAGGGUACCUCAGUUUAUCGAUGUGACCAACUUUGAGUAUAACCCCUACCCACUACUGUGCAGGUCGUUACAUAGCAAAUCCAAAGUCAUGGCUGAGUUAGCCUUCUUGGGGUGUCUUUUGGCUUGUCAAAAUGAUUUCCUUAUUUGUUUGUUUGCUGAAGAACCUUUGGUCAGUGUUGUUUGCUGCUACACCAGGUUUUCUUUUGACAAUCAGAGUACCAUUGUAGGUCCCAUCUGCCGGGUCCAGUCGAGGGUAGUUUCGUUAGCCGGUCCCGAAAGUCUAGGCCUAUUGGCGAGGCUGGCUGACAUCUCUAGCAGGUUUGUCCUGGCUUUAUUAGUUUCUUUCCUUCGUAGUGAUCUUUAGCAUUUUCAGAGGGUAUUUGUGACCUCGUGGGAAUAAUGUUAUUCCUCAUGAGACUUUUCUUGCUUUCAUGACGAUUCUUCGGUCCUACGAGUCCUUUUUGUGAGUGGACUCAUGCUGUUAGAAUCUUUUCCCUGAAGCUCAUAUUUUGGGUCCUGGUAUUGUGACACCAGAGAUUUUGUUGGUUUUUUUUUAGUGUGGGCUGAACACACCUAUUGAGGCGAGUGUUGCAUCUGUUUAUUGGUCCAAGUGUCCUUUACAGAUUUUCACUUGGACCUAGGAGGCGGUGUCGUAAAGACUGAUUUCACCAACUUCCUCUUCAUUCGAGGCUCUUUUACCCAUGACUUUUUGGUCAUGUCCACCCUUAUCGUUCCAUUUUUACUCAUGAUGCCCUUUUGGGUUUUCACUGUGCCCAUUUUUUUUAUUCACGGAACUAUUUUACUCAUGGUUUCGUGACCACGUCUGUUCGUCAUUUUUACUCAUGGCAUUCCCUUAUCAAGGUAUACACCAUGCCCUUUAUUUUUCAUGAAGGCAUGUUUAGGGUCAUCCUUUCAGGACCAGUGCGAACCCUUUUAACAUCAUGCAGCCAGGACAUAUACUAUGGUUUAAAGUCAUAUAGCUGGACAGUGAUAUAAAUGGAUAGUAGUCUGUGGAGGCCAUAGAAGGAGUAUGGUAAUGGUUUAAGUCACUUGGGGAGAUGGCACGAGGCUACCUAAGAAAGAUGGAUGAUGUAUAAAAGGAGGGUGAAAAGUGGUGACCCACUAGCUUACGACAAGUAAAGGUGACGGGAUGGUUCGCCGUUUUGUGAGAGCGGGUGAAACUCACUGAGGAAUGAUGGAGGAUGAUGAAACGAAUGGACUCACUAUGGAGGUAGUAAUGAUGGUGCACGGACAUGAACUGGUCGGUUAAGGAAGAUGUGUGUGAGAAUGCACAUAAAAGGUGUGCGCGCGUAUGUGGAGGCAUCUUUUAAGGUCAUGCCUCAAGGACCUGUGCAAUGCAGUUUAUCGUCAUGCAGCCAGGACGCGCACUAUGGUUUAGGGUCCUAUAGCUUGGACUGUGGUUAUGCAGUUUUAAAGUCAUACAACUAGGACCAUUCAGUUUAAGGUCGUUCAAUUAGACCUCCGCUACAGUUUAUGGUCGUAUAGUUCGGACCGUGGUUAUGUAAUUUAAAGCCAUACAACUAGGAUCAUGCAGUUUAAGGUCGUGCAACUGGCCCACCGCUACAGUUUAUGGUCACAUAGUUUGGACAAUGCAGUUUAGGGUCGUGCAACUAGACCUAAGCCAAGGUGUUGGUGUCGCAUAGAAGCCUUCUCGAACGUGCUUCUCUGCUAGCAGCAGUCCAGUGUUCGGGCAACUACUACGACUGUCAAGGUACUACUUGAGACAUGAAGUCAUGUCAGCUUCUUGGGCAUGGGGAAGCAGGGAUCUCUUACUUAGAUCUUCAUUUAUUGGGGGCCUUCCACUGAUCGGGGCCAUGUAUGAUGAGUUCGUGCCCCAGAACUCGACCAUCUUUGGUGGUGCUAGCUUGGGGGAUGAAGAGCCGCCUGCCAAUCUUCAAAGGAUUUUCAAAGGUUACCAAUUGCUCCAUGCUAAAUCUAGCAAUGGUCGAGUAACCUUCACCGAAUGGGUGAAAUUCUUUUGUGCAAACUAUCCUGAAGGCAGUCGGGGUACUUCAAGAGGCGAAGGAAGUCCAUCGUGAAGGGGACGCCUCCCGUGUGCGAAUCCAAGACCAUUGAUGAUUGUGUCCUCUUAGCCUUAUUUUUAUGCAAAUUUGUGAUCCCUGGAGGGCCGGAUGACAUUCGUCCAGGCACUCUCUAUGUAGCCUAUGACAUGGCACGAGGGCAUGAGUAUCCCCUUGCUCAACCUGUUUUAUGUAAUAUUUACCAUGGCUUAGAGGCCAUCUCCCGUGGAAAGGCCUUCAAAGGCAAAGACGGAGGGAAGGGCAUUGUAGGAGGAAAGGCAUUUCCCAGGGAUUUAAUACUCCAGUCCCCAUCCACUACGUGUAUGGGUGGCCAGAGGCCUAUUUCCCUAACACCUAUGUUAGGAACCAAGGCUCGUGGGGUAAACUGUGGCUCUUCUUGAUGAGGAUUGCUGACCAAAAGGUUAUCUUCCAUACCUCAACGGAGGCUCGGAGUUUAUUUGGGAAUGACUCCUUAAACAUGCGACGAGUCCCAUUUCUGGUCGAGAGCUUCACCGAUCGUGCUUCUAUUGAUGAAUCGGGGAAGGAGCUAGAUGGCGCUCCAACAACCAUUAGGGAGCUCAUGUUCAUCUUGAGCAUCAGAGGAGGAAUUCUUCCUUAUUAAACUCCACACAGUGUCAGAAUAGAAGGGUAUGUCCCUCACCGAUUCGCUCGUCAGCAUGGGCUUGAUCAGAGCUACCCCUUUUUCUUGUUUUUCGAAAAACAUCGACGCAAGGUGAACACGGGGAAAACAGAAAAGCUUGGGACUCUCAGGGAGUGCUGGUUGCCAAAACACAUACGGACAGUUUGGUCCACAUGUCUAGAAAUGAUAGAGAUCAGCAAGUAUGUGUUACCUCACUUUGACAGGCGGGUCUAAAUAACUGAGGCUUAUGCAAACUGAUGGAGGAUUAACAGCAAAGGAUAUUGGGAUGAUGAUCACCCCUAGAAAGGGGAGAAUGGUAAUUGGCACCAGGAUAUCAGGCAGAGAAGACUGGCGGAUACCCAUGCUCUUGGCGAAGUUUUUGUCUUGAAAUAUCCUUCUAACUGGCAUGCUUUUGGGUUUCCACACAAGAUAGCGGCUGACAACACCUCAUCGAAAUUUCUUGCGAUGAAGGAGAGAAUUAGGAGUAUUUUUUAUAAUCUUCGUUCCGUCUUCAAGUGGAAUGAGAGCCGAAGGGUCCCAGGUCAUGAGGGGCGACGUAUUCAGGACUUGAACGUGCUGAUCGAGAGUGGUCCCCACACUAAACUGGUUGAGAGACCUUCUCAAGGAGGGGAUUCUAAAGCGGCCACCCCUUCUUCAGCAAGGGGAAAGAAAAGAAAAUGCUCCACCACUGGCAACACUUAGUGGGCGUACUCGGAGGCGCAGAGGUGCCAACCUUCUUGUGAACUCAGAACCAGGAGGUAGCUCUUCUUCCUCUGAUCUUUUAGCAAGUCCUCCAGUAUCACCUUCUGCGCUUUCCCCACCAUCUUCUGUCUCUCCUGAAUUGUUUUCUUCCUCUUCAAAGACUGAAGUCGACGACUCCGGCCCUUCUGAACCCAUUAUAAUUGUUUAUUAUCGGGAAAUGAUUCCGGACCUUGGGGAGGUGCCUCUCAGUCCAAGGGUGGUUCCUGAGUCAGAGCCAGCUUCGAUGGAGACUGGCGAGGUUGAAGGCCCAGAAACAACAACUCUGGGAAGGGAAUCUGAUGCUGAUGUGGCCUCGGUACUUCAGGGGUUUAAUGACCCGACUGAGGCAAGGGUUAUGAUUCAAUAAGAGGGGCAUGUGGUUGAUGAUGUCUCUGAGUACCAAUAGGUUGCUGCCCCCACGAGCACAAAUCGUGAAGAUGAAGGAGUUGAGCUUUUUGUGGCCGAGGUUCUGGCUAUUGAGGGUGCAGGCCAGAUAGAAGAAACCACGGCUGGGGCGGAAUCGACUAGCAAAAGCCACAAAGAAGAGGUAGCUCUUGACCUUACUGAUACUGACGUAAUAGCUUAUGAGGUUGAGGAGCAAGGGCAGCAAGUUUCUUCAGAGUCUGCUGGGACAGAAGUGGAGGUCCCCAUAAGCUAGGGUCAAGGCGAUGAGACUGGUGUUGAAGAAUCGAGGCAGGUUGAGGUUGGGGCUACCUCUUGGUCUGAGGUACAAGAAGCUCUAGAUUUUGCCAUUGUUUUAGAGGAGCCGUGGCUCAGAUGGUUAUCACUUCAACCAGCCCGACCCUCAAGGCCAAAGCCUCUGCAGUAGUAGUGAUCCCAGCAGCAUCAUCUAAGCUCAUCUUUAGCAGGGUUUCUAUUAUGAUUGCAGGAAUGCUUCGAGCAGGGCUUAAGGGAGCUGCCUUUCAACGAGUUGGACGAGGCUUUGGUCAAACUGAGGGAAUUUGUUGCAACCACUGUGGUUGGGAGUGCAUUAGAGGUCCUUUCCCAUUUUGAUGCGAUCUUAAAUGAGUUGGAUAGCUGGCGGUUAGGAAUGCUGUAACGUGAGGCGGAAAUCAGCAGGAUGGCCUCCUUGGAGGAGUCAAUCUUGCGUCAUCGCGAGAAAAUAGAUUCAUGUGCUGAGAAGAAAACUACUAUGACUGGCCGUCAGCUGGAUCUCAAGAGCGAGGUGAGAGGUUGCUACAAGAGAAUGGUCGAGAUAUGAGAAGAGAUGCGAGCAUUAAGGCAGAAAUUUGUUGGCCUUGAGACAGAGAUGACUCAGAGAAGGGCCAUAGAGGCUUCUUUGGUAACAGAUUUAUCUGAACUCACUCGCACCAUUGAGUCCAAAACUGUGGUAAUGGCGAAGGAGACUCAAGUGGUGGCCGAACUGAAGGAUCAUGCCUAGGACCCCGAGGCUUCUUCCGCAGCAUAUAGAACGGAGAUCAAUAAGAUAAUUGAUCGAUUUUUAAUAUGUAUUUUCUUUCGCCAGCACUUUGUAAAAAGUUUGAACUCAUUAAUAAAAAUGCUUCUUUUUCUCUUGUGGUUGUCUUUACUGCAUGGUUUCAUUCCCCUCUUACUUUACUGCACCUCAUGUAAUCUUUUUUUUUUUUUGUGGCUUGAACGAACGCCCCUUGACAUUUUCAGUGUCUCAAAGGGGUUAAUACCCUAAGCCUUGUCUAGUCCUGUGGCGGGCUGUUGUAGAUUUGAUAACUUCGAAAUGGAGAGCAACUGCUUCUUCUCCUCUUUACGUUUGAUUGGCUAAGGAUUCAUAAUUCAUUUUCCUCAUUAUUUGAUGAGCCUUCUCACUCUAAAUGGUCAAUUCAUGCGGGGCUUUGGCCUCCAUUAGCAGUGCAUUCACUUCAAACCUGUCAUAGCUUUCGGUCUUGGGCACGAACUCCUUGAGAUGUUUUGAAGCAAUGUGCAUAACCUCCAAUUGGCUUUGGAGACUGCGCACUUCGCUCCUUAACUCUGCUAGGGUAUCCUGCUUUUGAGAGGAAGAAGACUGUCCUUUGUCAAACUGCUCACUUCCCGACAAACUAGGAAAGUAUAAAACUUGUGCCUAGUCAAUGAUCUGAGGAGCAUCCUCUAUGAUUAUAGUAACUGGAUUUUGAAAACUCUUUCAUGGCAGUUGACUCACCACUUCUGCUUUCAAGAUGUAAUGGGGAUAUGCAUGACUUUUUGAUGGUCCGGCAUAUAGGUGAUCUUUGGGGCUGGGAAUUCUAUCCCCAUGACUUGCUCAAUCUCAGGAAUAAGCUCUGGUUCAUUUCUGGUCAAGGUGGCCCAAGACUGGAGGUAGAGGGCGAGGACUCUUCCUCAGGUGAAGACGGAGUUUCUUCAGGGAUGAUUGUGGGGAUACUAGAAUGAAUAAGGGUUAACGGGAGGAUUCUGCCCUGCCUUUCUUCCUCUUUGAACAUGCUUACUAAUGUUCUCUCCACAUCCUCAACAUCUUCAUGAGGGGAAGAUCAUGUCUUCAUUGUAGACUUGUGAUCGUUAUCAUUUAAUCUAUGAGGUGACACCAAAUCUAUGAAGUAAUAUUUAGCAUCGGCGUAGUGAGUCUCAGCUAUAGAAAAUGGUCUUUUGUCAACAUAAACUAUAUGCUGCCACCCAUCUCGACUAUACUUGAAGCACUGAUGCAAUGUCGAUGGAACCACUCCCUGGUCAUAGAGCCAUGGCCGACCAAGGAGAAUGAUAUAGGAAGUGUCGGUGUCAAUUACAUGAAACUGGGCGUAAUCGUUCAGCCCACCGAUCUUAAAACAAAGGCAAAUUGUGCCGGCUGGCUUCUCUCCUGACUGGUUGAACUCUUGAACCAUAAUGUGGGUCGGAGUAAGAUCUUUGUAUCCUAACCCCAAUCGAGUAAGAAUCCUCCUUGGGAUAAGGUUAACUGCAAACCCUCCAUCCAACAUGAUUCGGUUGAUGGGGCAUCCAUGCAAUUCACCUGUCACAAAGAGGGGGCGAUUUUUGCGCCAACUGCAAAUCAUCCUUUGAAAAGGUAUUGGCAUACAUCCUUCUAAAAUUGUCUAGUCCACUUCAAUGGGUUCCACCUCGGUCUCAAACACUUUUGGGUUAGAGAGGGCAUGAACCAAAGCCAUUCGGUAUUCCUUUGAGAGCAUAAGGGCGUCGUAGAUGCUGAGAAGGGCUGGUAGUUUCCUCAGAUGUCCUAUCACUUCAUAUUUCACCUUUCUUGGUCAAGGCUUUGUGCCCCUAAUCCUGCCACUAGUUUGGGUGGCAUAUUGGGUUGAGGAACAGAAUUGGGUGGAAGAGGUUUAUUUUGGCCCACUAGCUAACUUGAUUGCAUGCCGGGCUUGAUUUGGGUGAUGGAGGUUUGAGAUUUUGGAAGUGAUUGGAUCAGAGGUGUCCCAAGAAAUUGGAGAAUAGGUGGAUUGUUUGAAGUAUUCAAAUUAGGAAGGAGCCCCGGAAGCUGUAGAAUAGGCAGAUUGGUAUUUGCGCUAGGGUGAAGUGGCUAGCUAGGAAACUUCAAAGUGCCCGACUUCUACGGUGGAAGUUGCAGCGUCUUCCCUGACCUGAGAUUCAUUUGCACCGUGGUGGGCGAUGAUCCAAAGAUUUACACCAUAUGACAAGCCUCUUGAGAGUAAAAGCUCUGCCCCCUUGAUUCUCUCAGUCUCUAAUAAAAGUUGAGCUCAGGGGGCCAUUAGGGUUUCUGUUGCUUCGACUUUCUGUAAUUCUUUGAAAAGGGUGUGUGCCUUGGCUAGAGAGGUCAAGUCAUCAGCAACUGCUAAGAAACCUGAUGUAUAAGCCAACGUCUUUUUCAACUGCCUCCAUUGCGUCUGGUUAUGUUUGAUCCCUCGAGUUCUCUGUCAAGAGCCUCGAAAUUGGGACAUAUCAAGGCUGUACCUACAAGAUACGAAGAGCAGGGAGGAUUAGAAGCAGAAGAAGAAGGAGAAGGGUUAGAAAGUGGGGGACUUUUAAGGACAUUCCCCUCACUGAUCUAGGCAGCUUUUAACGUCAGCAUUGGACGUGUGCAGGGGGUCUUUUAUGUCUUUCCCUUGCUUAGACCGUUGGGGAGUGCUUUUAACGUCGUCACCCUCAUUAAACGAGCUCCGAGUGGAAGAUGACUCUGGGAGGUCCUCUCGAUGAGACGGGGAAGGAAGAAGAAUCGUGACAGGGAUAAAGUCCAGUAAAGUUGGUAGUGGGGGAAGGGGCCUGAAAAGUUCACGCUUAGCCAGUGGUUGAACCAUCUUGUUUCUCCGGCGAGCAGCCGUUGGUGCCCGUCUCCUACUAGUUCCACGUGAUGGUGCUUGAUUCACUUCGUUAGGCUUGUGAACAGCCCUAGCUUGACGAACUGCUUCUCGCCUUCAAGACUUGAGCCGACUUCGCCAAUGGUGGACUAUCCAUGGUCGGGAAGUUGAGAGAGCAGAGUCUGGAUCAUUAUUAAGAAGGUCUUUUGUUGGGAGGUCCUCUUGCACUGGGGAAGGAGCGUUGUAAACUGCUGACAUUCCCACAUUUUCUUCAUGAAUAUAUCAUGGAAACUGGUGCAUUCCCCAAGAUAGUGGCCCCAUAUCUGGUGAAACGAGCACAACGGUCUUCAGUCCGUCGAGCAAGGUAUCGGGGCUGCCUUGCUAGUUUUGGUGUGAUUAAGCCUUCCUGAAGCAUUAUAACAAAGAAGACAUGAAGGAUACCGAGGCUUCAUCUUCCUCUUGAACUGUUAUUGCAUGGGAGGCUUCUGUUGCCCCGAAUGACUUCUUUAAGUCCUCGCUUUAUCUGACUCUUCUGAAUCAGGGCUUCGAUGAUAUUUUUUAGUGUGAAGCAGUCAUCUGUGGGAUGGUUGAUCAUUCGAUGGUAGGCACAAUAAUUUGCCUGAGUAUCGAGCCCAGCUUGCUGGGGGAACUUGCCCUCUAGAAGCUCAAUCAUGUUUUGUUACAACAAUAACCGAAACAAUGCAGGGACCCAUUCCUUCUCAAAGGGGUAGACCUUGUUCCUAUGUCUAGCGAAAUAAUCAACCCGAUUAAGAUUUUUUGGUGGGGGUACUCGAUUGUAUGAUUGUUGUUGCUUGCCCACCUGGGGCGUUGUCUUCAAUGUGCUCACCCCUUUGGAGAGGUCCAAAGUUUGGGAGGAAGCCUUCUUUGGAUCACUGACCGUGAUAUCGACACUGAUAACUCCUUUUUGUUGGCUGCCUCGAUUGUUUCUUGAGCUUGCAUAUGGUUGUCGUGACCCGUCGUGGUGGCGUGAUAGACUUUCUAUACAGACUGAUUUAGAGAUCAAUUAUGAUAUGUAGGUCGGGUUGGAGGCCUCAACAUGUAGAGCGAUCUCAAGUCACAUGUUCUACACGCAAGUUUAAACUACUUCCUUCUCAGGCAUAGGAUUGGGAUGGUGAGAGGCCAAAUUCCACCAUCUUUAUAUGAACUGGUCUGCAGGCUCAUAGGGUUCUUAGGUCAAGGUCAGAAGUUCAAUGGUUUGAACUUCUCUCUCGACCUUAUAGAAGCGUUGGUGGAACAGUUUCCCCAUUUCUUCCCAAGUAUGGACCGAGUUCGGGGGAAGUCGAGCAUACCAUUGAAAAGAUGGGCCGUCAACGGUCUCAACGAACUAAUGGAGAAGGAGUCUCCCAUCAGCCGUUGUUUCUCGGCACACUGCUUGAAAGUAGGCUAUGUGCUGGUUCGGAGACAUGGUUCAGUUGAAUAGAGGGAAACUCCCUUUCUUGUAAUCCGGGGGAAACGAAACCUAGUCAAUAAAUGAAGGGUAUGGCCUUUGAUAAGGCAUUGAACCUUGUAUCCCCAAAAUUUGUCUGUUCUUUAGACUAUGGGACAUCAUAGCAUCAAUGUAUGCUUGAGAGACAGGGUGAGGGACAUAAUUGUCCUGUGAGGCAGAAGGAAGGGGUUGCCUUGAAGGUGCAUCAACAAAGUGAUGAGAAUUGACCUCAUGGUUGGUUGACUGUCAUGCGGCAUCUAUACAAUCGAUCUUGUCCAUUAUUGCGUGCACUAUAUCUUCGAACUUGUUCAUGCAUUCUUCAUGCGAGUCGCCAGGCUCAUUUACAACCAUUACGUUGACUGUUUCUUCAGGGAGAUCAACGUUGGUUGAAGUUGAGAGCUUGCGAACUUGAUGGGUUGCACGAGGAACAUCGGUCAGCAGGGGCUCAGCAUGCCCUGACUUGACACGUCUCUUGUAUAUUGAUCGCAUGAGGACCGGUUCUCGACGGUCUUGGGACCGUGGCUGCUGAGUGGCUGAGUCAUCUUCAUUGACACUAACCACAGUGCAGGACUCGCGGGCUUCUUCUUCAGCUUUCGUCAUCUGAAGAGGGUAGAAGGGAUUAAUGCGCAAAGGUUCGUCAGAGCUGGUUCCCCGACAACCUUGGUCACUCCCUUAGUCAUAAUUCGUAGACCUUUAUCACGCUUGGCUUUGAGGCUUUGAUGGACCUCGAAUCAAAACGAUGAUCGAGACAGCGGCUAGUCGGCUCUUCUUGAACAAGAGAGAGUUGUCUCCAUCAGGUGCAGCAAAGGAUGAGAGCCAGGGACUGGGGUCAUCUGAGCCGGGGAGGAUGAAGGACUUGAUCUUCCAUUAGGUCAAUUCCCCGAGCUCGCUUGUAGGCUUUAUUGACCUGCUUCCUCUUUAUUCCGCAUCAGGGACCAAGGUACUGAAAAAUGUGUUCAAACACCUGCAAGUAUUCAUGCAGCUAGUGAGGAAGUAGAUCAUAAGGAAGACGAGCUUUGGGAGGCGAAAGGAAAAGCUUGCAUGUUUGGUGAUAAGCUGACCCCAAAGAUAUUGAACAUCCCGUUGACGAGGUCCUCGUUCGGGCCAUUCCUUACUCAAGUGAAAGUGAGUGCAAGCAUUAUCGCAGCAUUGUAGAUUUUGCCGUGGGGUCUCUCUCACAUCCACCUCCACCUUUGAAUGUCGUGGGUCGGUCAGAGCCUGUUGACACGAAUAAGUCUCCCUUUCUUGAUAUUAACUUGGUAAUAGAAAAUUUUUAUGUCCAAUUGCUUUCUUUUGGUCUUUUAUCUGUUUUUCUUGUAGGGUUCAUUUAGUCGCCGAUCCCAAUGGGAAAGUUAUCCCACCAACGACUGUCCAUGUUGAAUCCCCCAAAGCAAGUGCAAUUGAUAAUGUUUUGACAACUCUUGCCAACACAACAAGAGACCUUGUGGGUCUAUGAUGAAAGAUCCCCCAACAGUCAGCAGUUUUAAGAGGCAGAUGGGGAUGAACACCAUGAAGGAAGUGCUGCAUCUUGGCAACAACUCUAUAGCGGGUCUUCGCGAUGUCAAGGCGAAGAUUCUUCUCGUUCUUGAGUUUGCAAGAACUAUCCGAGUACAGACCGAGAAACUCUACCAACUGGGCGAGGGAAUUAUUCAAGCUGCAGAGAAGGUUGCCUCAGCUCAAGACACCAUGACUCACACAUUCCCAAGCAUAAUUGUCGAGAAGGAGCGGGUUUUUGCUGAGCGUGAAGGAGCAUUAUUGGUGACUUCCCAUGACUAUGAUGUAGUUGGAGACGAAGCAACCAAGGUUAGGGCUCAUCAUACGUGGUUAAAGGCACAAAAGUGCAUGGUGUUGGAUGAAAUGUAAAAAUUGGAGGCCCGCAUUUCAGCAAAAAAGAGGCAGUAUCAUCGCUUAUUUGCCUACACUUACCUUAUGGAUGAGAAGAUUGCCUAGGAGUCUAUGAUCUCGACCAAAUAUCCCAUCGUGUGGGGUCAAUGCUUGAUAUCACCAAGGGAUCUCAACAAGAAUUAUUCAAGGCAAGAGCUCAAAUGCAAGCUGCUCAGAAACUGGUGGAGGAAGAGGGUCAGAAGAUUGAAGAACUUCUUGAGCGUUUUAGAACUCCUUAACAUCUCUUUUUCCUUCUAUAUACCUUGUUUUGUGAGCAAUGUUUUUAUAACUCUUCAUAUUUCAAGCCCAAGAGGCACCCUUUUUAUUUGUAACAGACUUCAUGGCAUGGUUUGAUGGUUAUUUAUUAUACUUAAAGAAUGCUUCAUUUGUCUUUUAGCAUCACACAAAUGUAAUCGCAAUUCUAUUUUCAGUUUGAGACGAAAAGCCUCUAUAGUUUAAAGUCCUACCGAAUGGACUCUAUAGCAAGGUCUUCCUAAACUCCUACUUAAAAUGGUAUGGGUGGCUCAAUGCUCAAGGUUAUAAAUCCUUGAGGGAAUCCUGUAGUUUAAAGUCAUGCAAGGUAGACUAUUUUUGUUAAGGCCUUCCUAACCUCUUACUUAAAGGGGUAUGGGUGACCCAAUGCUCAAGAUUAUAAAACUUGAUCCUGUAGUUUAGAGUCAUACAAGGUAGACUAUUUUUGUUAAGGCCUUCCUAUCCUCCCAAUUAAAGGAGUAUGGGUGGCCCAAUGCUCAAGGUUAUAAAACCUCAAGGGAUCUAGUAGUUUAGAGUCAUGCAGGGUAGAUAAUUUUUGUUCAAUCCUUCCUAACCUCCUACUUAAAGGGGUAUGGGUGGCCUAAUGCUCAAGGUUAUAAAACCUCACGGGGAUCCUGUAGUUUAGAGUCAUACAGAGUAGGCUAUUUUUGUUAAGGCCUUCCUAAACUCAUACUUAAAGGGGUAUGGGUGGCUCAAUGCUCAAGGUUAUAAAACCUCACGGGGAUCCUGUAGUUUAGAGUCCUACAAGGUAGACUAUUUUUGUUAAGGCCUUCUUAAACUCUUACUUAAUAUGGGUGGCCCAAUGCUUAAGGUUAUAAAACCUCGAUGGGAUCCUGUAGUUUAGAGUCAUGCAGGGCAAACUAUUUGUUAAGACCUUCCUACUUAAAGGGGUAUGGGUGGCCCAAUGCUCAAGGUUAUGAAACCUUGAGGGAAUCCUGUAGUUUAGAGUCAUGCAUGGUAAACUAUUGUUAAGGCCUUCCUAACCUCCUACUUAAAGGAGUAUAGGUCACCCAAUGCUGAAGGUUAUAAAACCUCGAGGCGAUCCUUAGUUUAGAGUCAUGCAGGGUAGACUAUUUGUUAAAGCCUUCCUAACCUCGUACUUAAAGGGGUAUGGGUGGCCCAAUGCUGAAGGAUAUAAAACCUUGAGGGGAUCCCGUAGUUUAGAGUCAUGCAGGGUAGACUAUUUUUUUUAGGGCCUUCCUAACCUCCAACUUAAAGAGGUAUGGAUGACCCAAUGCUCAAGGUUAUAAAACCUUGAGGUGUUCCUGUAGUUUAGAGUCAUACAGGGUACACUAUUUGGCAAUGUUUUAGGUCAUACGUCGUGGACCUACAUAUCAUGGACUGAGGGUAGAGUCUUUAGAUUGUUAUACCCAUUAGUUUAAAGUCAUGGGGCGAGGACUGCUAUCGUGCCAUAUGCUUGAUAGUUUAGAGUCUUGUAGCUUGGACUAUGUGAUAGGCAGUUUAGAGUUGUACAUCGCGAACUUGCCCCCCUUUUCUUUUAAGGGUAAUAUUUCUUCAAGUAUCUUCCAUUGAUUGGAAGCAUAACAUCAUCUCAUGUUUUCGUACAGAGAAGGUAUGCUCUGGCGGAGUAAGCCUUUUUAACCACAUAGGGCCCAUCCCACUUGGGUUGGAACUUGGGCUGAGGUGCCCUAAUGGGGCAUCGUACAAUCAAGACCAGAUCAACUGGUUUGAAUGACUUUAGUCUUAUAUUUUUAUCGAAUGCCCUACUCAUCCUAGCCUAAUAGACUUCCAAAUUUUGUUGUGUGACAAGUUGCUUUUCAUCUAGGUCAUUGAGCUCAUCAUGUCGAAACCUAACGCGUUUGUCGUUUGUCAAACCAUAGUGAACUGCCACCCUUAAUGAAGGUAUCAAGACUUCCAAGGAUAAAACAGCUUUAGCCCUAUAGACUAGUGGGUAUGGGGUUGUUGAGGAUGAGUUCUUCCUCGUAGUUCGAUAGGCCCAAAGAGCUUCCGACAUUCUUUCGUGCCAAUCCCACUAGCUUUUGAUAACAGUCUUCUUUAAGACUUUGUAGAGGCUUUUAUUGAAUGCCUUCGCCUUUCCGUUAGCCCUCGGGUUGUACGUAGAUGAGUACCUCCAAUCAAUAUUGAACGGGCAGGUCAACUCUCGGAUGUAGUCAUUCUUGAAUGGAGACCCAUUAUCGGAUAUCAUCUUACCUGGUACCCCCAAAUCGAUGUACGAUGGUGACGCACAAAGCCAGCUACGAUCUUGCCUGUUACCUUCCAUAAAUGAAUAGCUUCUGCCCAUUUUGAGAAGUAGUCAGUGGCUACUAAUAUGUAAACAUGGCCUGCAACGGAGGCCGGUGUAAUGGGUCCCACUAUGUCCUUCCCCCAUUGAGAGAAUGUCCAAGACAUAAAGGUCAGCCGGAGAGGUUAUGAUGCUUGAUGGAUAUAAUCUACGUGUACCUGACACUCGUGGCAUCUUUUUGCGCACUUUAAUGUUUCCUUGGCCAUAGUGGGCCAGAAGUAUCCCAUUCGAUGCCGCUGGUGAUAAAACUUUGGUCCAGAUUGGUACAUACCACAUGCCCCGUUGUGUACCUCCUUUAGGGCUAGUUGUCCUUCCUCUUGGGGAAGACACCUUAAUAGCAGCCCAUCAUAGGACCUUCGAUAAAGCUGGUUGUUUAGUAGGGUGAACGUCGUUGCCCGCCACUUAAGGGCCAAUCUGUCUUCUUUAACUUGCGAGAGCUGACCAUGUAUCAAAUACUCUAAAAAGGGUAGUUGUCAAUUUGGUCGGGUAGCUUCCACGAUAGCCAUAGCACUUGUGGUGGUGGAUUCUUUUGUCAAUUUUCUCGCCGCUCCUUGAGGGUAUGGGGGAAAUUAUGCCCAUAAAACAUCCUCAUCCAUGGGAUCGACCUUUUCCACCAUGGAGAUAGCCCUCCAUUCUUGCAUAAGAACAUGAAAUGGGAUGUCGGGCUCAACGAACAUGGCGGCCCCGCCAUUGUUCCACAGGAACAUGAAGAGGGAUGCCGGGUUCGAUGAACAUGGCGACCCCGCCAUUUUUGCAUAGGAACAUGAAGCGAGAUGCCAGGCUCGACGAACAUGGCACCCCCAAGCUUAGCCAAUGUGUCAGCCUGGAUGUUCAAUCCCCGGGUAUGUGAGUCAAGGUGACUUCAUCCAUUUUCUCAAAGAGGUAUCUUGUCAUACUGUAGUAUGGUUUGAUUUCAUUUUUACGAACCUCGUAUAUCCCUUUUAAUUGUCGAGCGAUUAGCUAGGAAUCGCCGAAAAUAUUGAGGUCUCUAAGGUUCAACUCUAGUGUCAUAUCUAGGCCAAUAAUCAACAAUUGAUACUUGGCUUCAAUGUUCGAAUAUUUUUCAUUCAAGGAGAAGGGAUACGGCAAAUACCCUUUGUUGGGUGUCACAAAUAUUACGCCUGUGCCAGCCCCAUUUUCUUUGGAGGCUCCAUCAAAGAACAUUUGCCAUUGGGCUGGUUCAUUUGCCUACAUGACUUCUUCAUCAAGUAGAUCUUCAUUCAAAGGUGAUCCAUCGAACAUAGGAUGAGCAGCCAAGGAGUCGACUAGGGCUUGCCCCUUGAUAGCCGUUUGGGGAACAUAAGUGAUAUCAAACUCCAUAAGAAUUAGAGUCCACUUAGCCAAGCGUCCUGAUAGAACGAGUCAAGUCAUUAGAUACUUGAUCGAGUCGGCAUGAGAUAUCAAGUGCACCGGAUGCGCCAAAAGGUAAUACCACAACUUCUGAGCAGCGAAUACCAAUGCGAGACACAUAUUUUCAAUGGGGGAAUAGUUACAUUCGACUGGCAUCAUAGUACGGCUAAGGUAGUAUAAUGUCAUUUCCUUCCCCUCAUCGUUAUGCUGGGCGAGAAGAGCACCCAAAGAUCCUUCAAGAGCCGUCAUAUAUAGAAUGAGUGACUUAUCUGGUAUAGGAGCUGUCAAGACUAGUGGGUUCAUAAGAUAGUCUUUGAUAUCUUGGAAAGCCCUUUGACACAACUCAUCCCACUCAAAUGGGAUAUCCUUUUUCAUGAGCCAAGAAAAAGGUUUACAUCGCCCUGAUAAAUUAGAAAUAAACCUUCGUAUGUACGUCAGGUGACCUUGGAGAUAUUUUAACUCUCGUAAGUUCCUUGGCGACGACAUCUCUUAUAUAGCUCGUAUCUUGGUGGGAUCUAUCUUGAUUCUACGAUGCCGGACGAUGAAGCCUAAAAAUUUCCCAGACCUCAUACCAAACGCACAUUUUAAGGGGUUAAUCUUCAGUUAAUGCUUUCUUAGCCUCUUAAACACGGUCUCCAAAUCAAUGAGAUGAGUAAACCAGUCUUUUGACUUGACCACCAAGUCCUCAACAUAGCAUUCCACAACAUCAUGUAGAAUAUCUUUGAAUAUGACAGUCCUAGUGUGUUGGUAGUUGGCGCCUGCAUUCUUCAAACCAAAUGGCAAGACUUUGACAAUAAAUUUUAUUCAUGGUCCUAAAUGCUGUCAAUUCUUCAUCUUCUAGAGCCAUUCUGAUAUGGUUAUAACCAGAAUAUUCAUCCAUGAAUGAGAAUGCCUCACAGGCUACCAUGGAAUCAAUCAUGAUUUUCGUUAGGGGCAGAAAACAAUCAUCUUUUGAGCAGGCAACAUUAAGGUCACAGAAAUUUGUGCAAACCCUUAUAUAUUCAUUCUUUUUCUUGACUGGUACCACAUUAGCCAGCCAUUUGGGAUAUAUUAAUUCCCUAAUGAACCUACCAUUUACCAACUUAUUUACCUCGGUUUCAAUUUGAGGGGCUAUAUUUGGAUGGAACUUUCUUUGAGGUUGUUUCACGGGCUUGAUACUAAGGUCAACAUCAAGCUUGUGAGUAGCUACUGCGGGGUCCAAACCCAGUAUCUCGUGGUAGUUCCAUGCGAACACAUCAUCGUUGAGGUGAAAGAAGUUUAUAUACCGCUCGUUCUCUUCCAGGUCUAAAGAUGAACUGAGGAAGGUAGGCUUGUGCUCGCCUUCUUCACCCAGAUCGAUCUCAACUGGUCCAAUUGUCAGGGGGCAAUUUCUAUCCCUUCAUCGUUAUCAGAAUCAGUGUUGUUAUAAUUGCUCACAGAUGUCAUAGCACACUAAACUGUCCAUCUACCCUUAUGCACGCUCUUUGAGGCGGAUUCAAGGGUUACAGUGUACCUGAGUCCUUUAGUAUAAGGCCUCCCACGAGACACCUUCUCAAUGGCUUGAAAAGGGGACAUCAUUCCUUUUCCAUCAUUCAAGCCUUGAUUGUUGGUCUUGGUCUUAAUCCAUGUCUCUCAUAAAGGUUACGUCCUUCAAGGGGAGGGGUUUAUCUUCUUUUAGGUGCCCCUUCUUGAACUUUGUUCUCAAUGGAGGGCUGAUCAGCGUAAACCGUAUGUUGUUUACUCUCGUGGAAAUAUUUGAAGCACUGGUGAAGAGUGGAGAAGACAAUGUCAUUGCCAUGCAACCAUGGGCAUCUUAACAGUGCGUUAUACGAUGCUUCGGUUUUUAUGACUUGGAAUGUGGUGUACACUUCCCCAAUCCUUAGCCUCAACCUGACACUUUCGAUGGCUUGUUGAGUAGCCUGAUUGAAGCCUUGGAUUAUCAUGUGCCCUUCUUGCAAGUUCUUAAUAUCCAUCCCUACGGCCUUCAAUGUCCUCAGAGGGAGUACGUUUACGAUUGACCAUCCAUCUAUCAUUAUCCGAUUGACAUAGGUUCGAUAUAGAACUCCAGCUACCAUCAAUGGGAAAUUGUGAGGUUUCACCCCCAGUUGUAAGUUUGCAUCUGAGAAAGUGACCGGCAUAUCAUCAGCUAGAACUGCCGAGUCAAUUUCCACUUGAUCGACUUCCGCUUAGAACUCCUCCGAAGAUGACAGGACUCGUAUCAGAGCUGCUCGAAGCUCUUUCGAUAGCAUAAGAGCGUCAUAGAUGCUUAGUUGGUAUUCUUCUCAAAUGGGAUGCUAAAUUAUAGUAACCAAUCUUCUUAUCUGUGGACGGCUUUGCAUGUCCGGUAGCAUUGGAGGUUUCGGCAUGCAUUUCAGUGGCAAUCAUAACCUUCUUUGGCGUGGUAGCUUUGGAUGGUUUUAUUUUAGAAACCCCCCUUCCCGAUCUCAAGGCUAGUUGCACGACCAGAGGUUCUAGAUCAGCUUCCACCAUCCAUGUCACCUUGUAGGUUACAUCAUUCAUCUCCUUUGCUCAUGAAAGUUGUUCAUCAUUAAAGGCCUUGGCAUGGAAUCUUUCAAGGUAGGGUGCGAAGGCAAAGUCGGUUGGACGUCUUCAUUUAUCUAUCUUUCCUGUUUUCUUUUUAUCUUAUUCGCACCUUUGGAAGAGGAUAGAACAGUCCCUUCUUCAUGUACUUCUAUUAAUUGUGCUUGAGAAAGCGUUGUCUUCAAUGCUUCUAACCGACUCUUCUCAGGGCUUCAACUUGCAUCCGUUCUUUCUCCUUCCGACUAAUAUAGGUAGUCCAGUCACUGUAUGCAGUUUCCUCUGUGUCAGUUGAGGAGUUGAGGCUCCUCAAAUAUUCUGAGCACAGCUCAAAGAGCUCCAGGUGAGGAUAUCCUUCAACCUUUCCUAGAAUGGGGACUUGAUGAACAUGUCGUUCAGGAGCAGCAUGAUCCACGGAUAUAGUCCCUUUGUGAGAGAGAGAAAGUUGUUGUUGUUUGUUGAGCUCGUCACCCUUGUUGCAAAGUUGAGUAUGUACAAAGCUUGCAACGUCAUAGUAUUAUUGCAAGUUGAGCAUUUUGCAAUUAUUAUUGUUGCAAAUUGAGUAUGCUGCAAUUUGAGCACGCCAAAGCCUUGUUGCAAAGCCUUGUUGCAAAGCCUUGUUGCAAAGCCAAGUUUUAAGCACGCCAAAGCCUUGUUGCAAAGUUGAGCAUGUUGCAAAGUUUUUUUUAUGUAUGAUUUCUAACAAGGAAUAUAAGCAAGUAUUAAGGAGUUCAUCAUACGCAAUGUAAAAUGGGAUUGGCUACAACUUUAUCCAUCGUUCGGUCUUUGACAGGUUUCAAUUGAGUUGUUUCCCAUUCUUUUUGUUAUUGAUUACAUCAGUGUUCCAGUUCCUUUUAUCUCUUGUAAUGCCAAAUUCAGAACCUAACUCUUGCAUGAAACUUACAAUUGUCUCUUCAAAUGGGCGUAACACUCCUGCUUGGUCAAAUGUUGUUUUUCGUUCUCUCUUUGAAAAAUCUAAAACUAGAUCCAUAACUAGGAAGAAAAUCAAGAAUCUUGAUUUCGAAACCUCUGAAGAAAGUGUUAAAAAAAUCUCCCCUGGUUGCUAAUAAUGGUGGAAGUAGAGACCCUAACAUAUCUGUUGCUCAAAGCAUAACCACUCAAACCUAUUACUACUACUAUGAUCAUUAUCAUCAGCCCAGUAACAAUAAUGUCUCUUCCUCCACAUAAGAUCCUUCUUCUCUAUUCCCGGACACAAGUAAACAUUUUGUUUCUAUUGCUUCUUUUGACACUUUGUCUUAGAUAAUAGACUCAAAGGACACAGAUCAUAUGACUGAAAAUUUACAGUGUCUAUCCAACCUCAAAAAUAAAGAAAAUAUGAACCAAGUAUCUAUUGCUAAUGGUUCUUUAAUUAUUGUCCAUAGUGUUGGUAAUACCAAUUUGUUCUCCAAGUCACAAAACUCUGAAGUUCUUUUUAUGCCAUUAUUUUACUCUAACUUGAUGUCUAUUAGUAAAAUUACUCAUAGCAUGAAUUGCAAUAUUAUUUUUUCUCCCAAUUAUGUGACUUUCCAAGACCGGACCAUGAGAAGGAAGAUUGAUGAAGGUAGAUUAUCUCAUGAACUAUAUUUAUUCAAACAGUAGAAUAAGACUUUGGUUGCCAAUCAAAAUAAUUUUGAUAUUAAUAAAUUGUGGCAUUGGAGAUUUGGCCACCCCUCUGAUAAAGUUUUAAAAUUUUGAUGCCCUAUCUAUCUUUAAACUCUCAUUCUUGUGAAAUUUCUAAAUUCUCAAAACAAACAAGACUUCAUUUACUGUUUCGAUGCAUAUUUCAGAGGAAACCCUUUAUUUGAUACAUUCUGAUAUGUGGGGACCAGCCCCAAUUGAUUCUUAUGAUGGCUUUAAAUAUUUUGUUACUUCUAUCGAUGAUUGGUCUCGUGCUACUUGGGUAUAUUUAUUGAAAUAAAAAACAAAAGUUUUCCAUGUGUUCAAAAAAAUUUCCAAACUGAUUUCCACUCAAUACAAUGGCAAGAUUAGAAUUUUGCAGACUAAUAAUGGCAUAAAUUAUGUGAACAAAACUUAUUGAACAUUUAUUUAUCUUGGUAUUAUACACCAAACAUCGUGUGUUGGAACACCCCAGUAGAAUGAAGUUGCUGAAAGCACAAAUAGAUACCUUUUGGAAGCUACAAGGUCUUUGAUGCUUUAUAUGCAUGUUCCAAAAAUUUAUUGGUCUGAAUGCUGUUUUAACUGCUUGCUAUCUGAUUAACAGACUUCCAAGUAAAAUUCUUAAAGAUAAAUCUCCCUUUGAAAUUUUGAAAAAUAUAAAAAUUGAUUUGUCUCAUUUGCGAGUAUUUGGAUGCGCGUCUUAUGUUUAUAUAACUGGGCACAACCGGGAUAAAUUUGAUAAACAUUCUAAUAAGUGUAUCCUUCUUGGAUACUCCUAUAUUCAAAAGGAAUACAAAUGUUAAGAUCCUACAACUAGGAAAAUGCAUAUUUCCAUAGAUGUUCAAUUUGUUGAAACAUAGUCAUAUUUCCAUGACACAUUGGAUAGUGGUUUGAAAAAUAAGAUUCAAGAGGAGUAUUCAAGAGGUCGUUUUCACUUGUCUAACAUUAGUACCAAUAAUGUAUUUAGCACACACGGAACAAGUCAUGAUGAUCAAGUCGAAGCUGAAGAUACAUUUAAAACUCACCAAAGUGGUUUAGGAGAAGCAGACUCUAUCGCGGCUGUGGCCCCACCUAAUCUCCCCUUGCAUAGGUCUUCUUGUAUCUCUCAACCUUCCUCCAGACUUCAAGAUUUUUAUACUGACCAUGCAAUUUCUUAUCCUGUUCAAAAUCAUAUUUUCUAUGAAAAUAUCUCUCUUGGCUAUUUUACUUUUUUUAGUUUUAUUUCUAAUAAUUUUUAGUUUUAUUUCUAAUAAUUCUGAGCCAAUCAAUUUUCAAAAUGUUAUUUCUCAACUUGUGUGGAGGAAGGCUAUAAAAGAGGAACUUCAAACACUUGACAAGAACCAUACUUGGAACAUUGUCAAGCUACCUAAAGGGAAUGAAACAAUUGGAUAUAGAUGUUAUAAAAUCAAAUAUAAUAGUGAUGGGUCCAUUGAGAGACAUAAGGACAGGUUGGUGGCCAAAGGCUUUACCCAAACUUAUGGAGGCGACAAUAAAGAGACUUUUGUACUAGUUGCCACGAUGAAUAUUAUUCGUAUUCUUUUGUCUAUCGCAGUCAAUUGUGGUGGUCUCUGCAUCAGAUGGAUGUUAAAAAUUCCUUCUUAUAUGAUGACCUUAAAGAAGUCUAUAUGAAUCUUCCUCCAGGCCAUUCUAAAGAAAAUGAGAAAAGUCUUGUAUGCAAAUUAAAAAAGACCUUGUAUGGACUUAAACAAUCACCUCGUGCAUUGUGCCAAACUCAGCUCAGCAUUCAUGAAUGUCGAGUUUAUUAGAAGUUGAAUUGAUUCUUCGAUGUUCAUAAAAAAAGAGGACUUCAGGUACAACAAUUGUACUUAUUUGUGCUGAUGAUGCGAUUGUUACAGGUGAUGAUAAAUAAAGAAUCAUUCAACUUAAAAAUUAUCUUCAUAAGAAAUCUGACAUCAAGGAUAUUGGUCAACUAAAAUAUUUUCUUGGCAUUGAAGUAGCAUAUUAAAAAAAUGGACUCUUCAUUUCUCAAAAGACAUGUAUUAGAUCUGUUGAAAGAAACUGAGAAACUAAGAGUCAAUCUCGUUGACACUUCUGUUAAUAUUAAUUGUAAACUUACUUCAACAAAUAAAAAACCUCUUGAAGAUGUGGACUGCUUUCAAAGACUUGUGGGCAAAUUGAUUUAUUUGACCGUGAAACGACCAGGUAUAAUGUAUGCGAUUAGUCUUGUGAGCCAAUUUAUGACGCUUCUAGAUCAUGUCAUAUGGAGGUUGUUGACAUGAUUCUCAAACAUCUUAAGUCAUCACCCGACAGAGGUGUUUAGUUGAAACUGAAUGGUCACACACUAAUAUUAUUGGUUAUUCUAAUGCGGACUGGGUAGGAAGUCCAAUUGACAGGAGGUCCGCUACUGGCUAUUGUACAUUGGUCAGAAGAAAUUUAGUUACUUGGAAAACCAAAAAACAAAAUGUUGUUACUCGAUCAAAUGCAGAGGCCAAAUAUAGAGCUCUGGCUUUAACUAUAAGUGAAUUGAUGUGGCUAAAAUACCUACUUCGAGAUAUGGGGCUCCCAACUGUCAAUCUAAUUGAGAUGUUAUGUGAUAAUCAAGCAUAUACAUAGAACCUCAAAUCCAUUUUUUCAUGUAAGAACUAAUUUUAGUAAAAAGUUAUUAGUACUCCUUAUGUUUAAAGUGAAGAUCAACUUACAAACAUAUUUACCAAAGCUAUUACAAAAACAAAGUUUCAUCAGAUACUAUCCAAGUUGGGCUACAUUGAUAUCUACCCAUCAACUUGAGGGAGAGUAUUGACAGUUAUAGAAAUCAAAUAUUGGAUUUUCUAUCUAGUGUAUUACAAGAUAUAAUGUUUCAUAUAUUGAGUUUCUUAUUUUGUGGGAUUACUAUUAGAGUAAGAUUUGCUUCCUAAAAGACAAUAAUUGUAACUCUAUAAAUCUCUGAUAAACCAAAGUAAUCCUUAUAAAUGAGAUACUGGUUUACCCUCCAUAGAAGUCGGCGCUAUGGCCGAACCACGUAUAUGUGUUGUUGGUUCUCUCUCUCAUCACUAUUUCUUUUAUUGCAAUUUCUAUUUCUUUUAUGGCAAUUACUACAGGAUCAGAAUCUUGUAGGAAUGGGGACCCAGGUUAGAAAUAUGGUUAUUGUUUGAAAACAAAUUAUCAAAAUAAAGUGAUGUGAAAGUAUAGUGAAUAAAAUACAAAUCAGUGUAUUAAUAGAUACAAAAAAACACUUUGUUGGCAUUAGCGAGAUGUUGCUCCAUGUAACGAAGUUCCGGCGAAUAUUCGGGAGAGAAGAUAAGUGUAGAUAUGGAUGCCAAAAAAUGCACCGAGAGAAUCAAUGGAUUUAACAAACCUUGUAUGAAGGGGCCCAUGGUUGUCCAUGUCCUCUUCCCCAACCCCCUCGUGACCCCGAGGGUGAACUGGCAAAGUAGAUGAUAUACAAAAAAGAAAGGGAAGAAGGAAAAAGUAAGUUAUUACUAAAACAAUUCAGAAAAAAAAACUUAGGCCAAGUCAAUAUAUUUCUUGGCAGAUGUAUCUGGACAUUGUAUUCAAUGAGGCCCAUCUAAUAACGUCCACCUAAAAAACUCCAUACAAUGCCAAUCAUCAGAAGCUAUAGGCUAGGGCUGAAGGCUCCAAACCUUCGGCGCAUAGGGAGUCAUUGCUAAAAUAAAGAGGUAUAGUUGAGAAAGGAGUACCUCAGAAGCUAUAGGCUAGGGUUGAAGGCUCCAAACCUUAGGAGCAUAGGGAGUCAUUGCUAAAACAAAGUGGUAUAGUUGAGAAAGGAGUACCUCAAUACCCACAAGCAUGCAUGAGUGCAAUAUGAGGUUUCAAUCUCAACAAAGUAAUGGAGUGAUAAAAGAAGCGUGAGAGUAAAGUAUAUGAUGGUGUAUUACAUUUCUAAGAUCUAUUGAUACCUCUACUGAUGUUCAUGAUACAAAAUAUAUCUUUUCUAUGGUUGACAAGGGUAUUGAGGAAGUCGGAGAGGAGCAUUUUGUAUGGGUGGUAAUAGAGAAAGGGAUACAAUCAGAUAUGAGGUCAAUAAAUUUGUCACCUCUUUCUUAAAUUUAGAAAAUUUUAUGUCAUUCCAAGGGGAAAGUUGCAACAGGAUAUGAGUACAAUCACCUUACCUCUAUCAAGUGUGCCUUUCAUCUUGGCACUUUGCCAAUAGCCUCAAGCCCAAUGUUGAUGUAGUGUAUUGUUUAUGUUGUCCGAAAAAUAGCCACCAGGCAUGAGGUAAGGAAAUUUACUACCUCUUUCAUGUCUUAAAACACUUAAUAUAUAUGCAUGUGGUCCAAACACGCGCUAGGGAAGAGGGUACACAUCACUAUUUUGUCCAAGUCUUUGUAAAGUGGGGUAAUGCACUCACUUGAGGUAUUCUCACGCUUGUCAAAGUAUCCUCUUGGUUAAUAGCUUCAUCAGCUCUAGCAAACAGCUAUGUACUAAUUGAACUUUAAAUUCUUCCACGCAGAUAAUGUAAUUGAACCCUAUUUCUUUUUGAGGAAGACGCAAUUAUUUAAAGUUCUAAUAGUUUCAUAUUUGGCCCAACGUAUUCUUGAUUUUUAUUGGUUACAAGUUACAGACUUAUGAUUUAAAAACUUAAAGAACGCAAAUGCAAGCCAAUGGCGUGAAGUAGUGCCCCUAAAAACUUAAAUUACCGCCUAGGCGGUUUGUCGACCAGGCAGCCUAGGCGGCAAGGCGGCCGAAUUUUGUGUGUUCAUAGAGGCACCAACUACUAAUGUACAUAAACCUUGUUUGAUGUGAUGCAGCUAUUCGAACAAAAUUAUCAUGCCAAAUCAACAUCGAAAUAUAAUGGUCCAGCUACCCAUGUUAACCCCAUAAUUUGCCGAGACAAACCAAAAAUAUUGAUGACCAGGUGAACCACAACCAUUACAAAUAGCUAAUCUGUUAACAGCAACACAAGAACCAAUGAAAUUGCUUUAUUGUAAAAGAUAAGAAGUUUUAGUUGGUUAUUCUGUAAACUAUGACUAAUGACCAAAAGUCAACAACAAAAAAAACAAGCAUGAACAUUUGACAAAAGAUAAUUUUUCCAGAUUUUGCAGUGAUCCUCAUUCAUCAAUACAAGAAGUUUUAGUUGGUUAUUCUAUAAAUUAUGACUAAUGACCAAAAGUCAACAACAAAAAACAACAUGCAUGAACAUUUGACAAAAGAUUAUUUUUCUAGAUUUUACAAUGAUCAUCCUUGUCUUACUUUUGGGUUCCAUUUCAUUGCGUUCUACAACACCGGAAAAUAUAUGACCCGGCAUGAAAUGCGACAAAACAUGUUUUUUAGAGUUUUAAGAAUAAUGGAAGUGUUAUAACCUUAAACCCAUAAGCCAUUGAUGCUAAACCCCAAAAAUCAUGAAUUCAACAAUAAAACCGGAGAUUAACAAGAAACAUAAGUUUAUAACUAUUGAGUACUUUGUAGAACCUACCAUUAACACAAAUAAAACUAAAAACAAGCACAAAUAAGGUAAUACAUACAAAACACUCCAAGUUAUUGGAUGUCACAAAAAGCAUAAAGCAACUCAAUAUUGAUAAUCUGAAAUGGUAAAACACUGACAGAAUGAAAAAAUUCCUAGAACAUCCGCGAUCACAAAAGAGAUCGCCUGUAUGUUGUGAAAUAGAAUAAGAACAAGAAACAUAUGUAGAGAAAGAAAGAUGAAAAAUAAGGAUACGUUUGUUGCGCUAAUAGGAAAGAGAAAUUGCUCACUCCAAAACUCCAUUGUUGAUGGAAUAUGCGACGUUGAAGCAAUAGGGAAGAGAGAGAGCGAAACCCUUGAGUUCUAGAACAGAAAGUGGAAAAGGGAAGAGAUGGAUUUCCUCAUAGAGUGAAACGGGCCUUCAGAGAGAAAGAGAGAGAGAGAGAGAGAGAAAGCUAGGGUUUUGGGGAGAGGGAAAUCCAUUUGCUGGUCGCAUUAGAGAAACCUUUUAUGUUUUCUUUUUCGGUUUUAUUUUUAAA
rnacentral:lncRNA from 1 species